CUUUUUUUCUUUCUUCUUCAACCGUUUAUGAAGAAAAUGGGCAGCCACAAAUGAUCAAACAUUCAGCCAAGCUUCUAUAGCCCAUCUAGAUCAAGGAAGACGAGAUUCGGACUUAGAAAGGGGGAAAAACAAAAAAAAUAUGACGAAUAAGUCCUUUUCACCGAUUAAGCUACCGAGGUAAUCCAAAGAUUAUGUUAAAGAAAAGACAAGGUAUAGUCAUGUUGAAAGGAUACAGUGUCACAGAUACUAGCUCGAGUUGGAGAUCGUCGGAGAUUCUAUCACACUAUUAAGCUAUUGAUCGGUAUCAACAUAUUCAAUCAUUUUAAGUUUAUGGCAUGUAUAGGGACUCAGUCAUUUUGUGUAUGAGUUAUUAUGUUUUGGCCAAAUGUUUUGGCUUGUAAUGGUUAAAGGUUUGAUUUAUGUGUAGCCACGUAACUUGGCUUAUAUUGGCUAAUUGGUUGUAAGCCUAUAUAUAUAUAUAUAUAUUAAUUAUAUGUCAA